GAUGAACGCUGGCGGCGUGCCUAAUACAUGCAAGUCGAGCGAACGGACGAGAAGCUUGCUUCUCUGAUGUUAGCGGCGGACGGGUGAGUAACACGCGGAUAACCUACCUAUAAGACUGGGAUAACUUCGGGAAACCGGAGCUAAUACCGGAUAAUAUUUUGAACCGCAUGGUUCAAAAGUGAAAGACGGUCUUGCUGUCACUUAUAGAUGGAUCCGCGCUGCAUUAGCUAGUCGGUAAGGUAACGGCUUACCAAGGCAACGAUGCAUAGCCGACCUGAGAGGGUGAUCGGCCACACUGGAACUGAGACACGGUCCAGACUCCUACGGGAGGCAGCAGUAGGGAAUCUUCCGCAAUGGGCGAAAGCCUGACGGAGCAACGCCGCGUGAGUGAUGAAGGUCUUCGGAUCGUAAAACUCUGUUAUUAGGGAAGAACAUAUGUGUAAGUAACUGUGCACAUCUUGACGGUACCUAAUCAGAAAGCCACGGCUAACUACGUG
rnacentral:rRNA from 1 species